UUGAUCCUGGCUCAGAAUCAACGCUGGCGGCGUGCCUAACACAUGCAAGUCGAACGCGAAAGUCCCGCAAGGGAUGAGUAGAGUGGCAAACGGGUGAGUUACACGUGGGUGACCUGCCUUCGAGUGGGGGAUAACGUCCCGAAAGGGACUCUAAUACCGCAUGACAUCCUGCUUUUGAACAGGUGGAGAUCAAAGCUGGUGAUCGCAAGACCUAGCGCUUGAAGAGGGGCCCGCGCCUGAUUAGCUAGUUGGUGAGGUAACGGCCCACCAAGGCAUCGAUCAGUAUCCGGCCUGAGAGGUCGGACGGACACACUGGGACUGAGACACGGCCCAGACUCCUACGGGAGGCUGCAGUGGGGAAUUGUUCGCAAUGGGCGCAAGCCUGACGACGCAACGCCGUGUGGAGGAUGAAGACCUUCGGGUCGUAAACUCCUUUCGAUCGAGACGAAUGGCCUCCGGGUGAACAGUCCGGAGGAGUGACGGUACCGAGAGAAGAAGCUCCGGCUAACUCCGUGCCAGCAGCCGCGGUAAUAAGGU
rnacentral:rRNA from 1 species